rnacentral:misc_RNA from 1 species
GAUGAAGAACGCAGCGAAAUGCGAUAAGUAAUGUGAAUUGCAGAAUCCAGUGAAUCAUCGAAUCUUUGAACGCACAUUGCGCCCGCCAGCAUUCUGGCGGGCAUGCCUGUUCGAGCGUCAUUUCAACCCUCGACCUCCCUUUGGGGAAGUCGGCGUUGGGGACCGGCAGCACACCGCCGGCCCUGAAAUGGAGUGGCGGCCCGUCCGCGGCGACCUCUGCGUAGUAAUCCAACUCGCACCGGAACCCCGACGCGGCCACGCCGUAAAACACCCAACUUCUGAAUGUUGACCUCGAAUCAGGUAGGACUACCCGCUGAACUUAAGCAUAUCAAUAAGCGGAGGA